rnacentral:rRNA from 1 species
UACGUAGGGGGCGAGCGUUGUCCGGAUUUAUUGGGCGUAAAGAGCGUGUAGGCGGCCAGGUAGGUCUGCUGUGAAAACUCGAGGCUCAACCUCGAGACGUCGGCGGAAACCAUCUGGCUAGAGUCCGGAAGAGGAGAGUGGAAUUCCUGGUGUAGCGGUGAAAUGCGCAGAUAUCAGGAAGAACACCCGUGGCGAAGGCGGCUCUCUGGGACGGUACUGACGCUAAGGCGCGAAAGCGUGGGGAGCGAACAGG